CAUAAUUAGCGCGGAGGGUCCCAAAUUCGUUCUCUUCACGCACACGCAGUAGCAGACUGGACGCAACCUAAUUUAAUUCGCGAGGGAAAACAGAUUUGAUUUCAGCUGUUUCCACCGCCUAAUUACUACACAUUUUUUUGUCCGAUUAAUUCGUCGACUCCACCUACUGAGAUCAAAUCUGGGCAUCAGAUUCUGUGCUGCCUUCGACGUCAAUCCCGUCUGGUUUCGCCGCGGAAUUC
rnacentral:lncRNA from 1 species